GAGAGAUGGAAGUACACCAGCAACCCCUGAAUUAGACGCGUGCAGGAACUGGAAUUUCAGUAGAGAGGAGAAAGGUUUUGAUAGUCCUUUACUGAAAUAGCGAAGAAUGGAAUAAAGUAUUCUUCAUUCAGAAGAGCCAGGAAAAUUAGAAUAAGACACACUUAGUACUUGGGGG